rnacentral:lncRNA from 1 species
AAAGUCACCCAGAUUGCUGAAACACAUGUUACUAAUUGUUGUCAUCCAUCCUCAUUCCAUUCAUGUGCUUUACAGAAAAACGUUUCAACCCAUGAAAUCUCUCACUGCAUUUCCAGUCGUCUUUUUUGAUGGAAGUAGAGUCACGGAGCACACAUUACGCUAAAGUACAAGUGGUAUAUUUCGCACCCUGAGGGACACUUUCACAGUUGAUGUCAGUCUAACAAUGUCAUUGUAGUUAGAUCUAAAUUAAUGUGGUUUUGCAGAAAUUUGGCUACGGCCACUCCCGGAAUUCGCCGUUUGUACAAGUUUUCAUUAAUUUUGCUAGGGACUUACGAUAAAACAGGAAGGAAAGGUAGGGAUGGAAUGCAGAAGCACACGUACGUCAGUGUCCUUUCAUCAGCGAUAUAUCGUCCUCGUCGUCGUCAUCUCAAGCUCUCUCGUUUGCUUGCUACGUAUCUUUGAUGUACACCUCUCUCUGGCAACCAAUUUCAAUCUUCUUACUCAUUGGUCCUUUCUCUACCCAUUAAGU